rnacentral:rRNA from 1 species
ACUCCUACGGGAGGCAGCAGUGGGGAAUAUUGCACAAUGGGCGCAAGCCUGAUGCUGCCAUGCCGCGUGUGUGAAGAAGGCCUUCGGUUGUAAAGCACUUUCAGUUGUGAGGAAGGUGGUGUCGUUAAUAGCGGCAUCAUUUGACGUUAGCAACAGAAGAAGCACCGGCUAACUCCGUGCCAGCAGCCGCGGUAAUACGGAGGGGUGCGAGCGUUAAUCGGAAUUACUGGGCGUAAAGCGCAUGCAGGUGGUUUGUUAAGUCAGAUGUGAAAGCCCGGGGCUCAACCUCGGAACUGCAUUUGAAACUGGCAGACUAGAGUACUGUAGAGGGGGUAGAAUUUCAGGUGUAGCGGUGAAAUGCGUAGAGAUCUGAAGGAAUACCGGUGGCGAAGGCGGCCCCCCUGGACAGAUACUGACACUCAGAUGCGAAAGCGUGGGGAGCAAACAGGAUUAGAUACCCUGGUAGCACAGAG